UACGUAGGGUGCGAGCGUUAAUCGGAAUUACUGGGCGUAAAGUGUGCGCAGGUGGCCGCGCAAGUCGAGUGUGAAAAUCCCCCGAGCUUAACUUGGGAAUUGCGCUCGAAACUACGUGGCUCGAGUGUGGUAGAGGAAGGUGGAAUUCCACGUGUAGCGGUGAAAUGCGUAGAGAUGUGGAGGAACACCGAUGGCGAAGGCAGCCUUCUGGGCCAACACUGACGCUCAUGCACGAAAGCGUGGGGAGCAAACAGG
rnacentral:rRNA from 1 species